rnacentral:rRNA from 1 species
UAGGGAAUCUUCGGCAAUGGACGGAAAGUCUGACCGAGCAACGCCGCGUGAGUGAAGAAGGUUUUCGGAUCGUAAAGCUCUGUUGUAAGAGAAGAACGAGUGUGAGAGUGGAAAGUUCACACUGUGACGGUAUCUUACCAGAAAGGGACGGCUAACUACGUGCCAGCAGCCGCGGUAAUACGUAGGUCCCGAGCGUUGUCCGGAUUUAUUGGGCGUAAAGCGAGCGCAGGCGGUUAGAUAAGUCUGAAGUUAAAGGCUGUGGCUUAACCAUAGUAGGCUUUGGAAACUGUUUAACUUGAGUGCAAGAGGGGAGAGUGGAAUUCCAUGUGUAGCGGUGAAAUGCGUAGAUAUAUGGAGGAACACCGGUGGCGAAAGCGGCUCUCUGGCUUGUAACUGACGCUGAGGCUCGAAAGCGUGGGGAGCAAACAGGAUUAGAUACCCUGGUAGUCCACGCCGUAAACGAUGAGUGCUAGGUGUUAGACCCUUUCCGGGGUUUAGUGCCGCAGCUAACGCAUUAAGCACUCCGCCUGGGGAGUACGACCGCAAGGUUG